rnacentral:rRNA from 1 species
UACGUAGGGUCCGAGCGUUGUCCGGAAUUAUUGGGCGUAAAGAGCUCGUAGGCGGUUUGUCGCGUCUGCUGUGAAAUCCCGAGGCUCAACCUCGGGUCUGCAGUGGGUACGGGCAGACUGGAGUGCGGUAGGGGAGAAUGGAAUUCCUGGUGUAGCGGUGAAAUGCGCAGAUAUCAGGAGGAACACCGAUGGCGAAGGCAGGUCUCUGGGCCACUACUGACGCUGAGAAGCGAAAGCAUGGGGAGCGAACAGG